rnacentral:lncRNA from 1 species
UGCAACUCAUUGUCGUUGCACUCGCUGCCGCGUUGAAGGCUCGUGUUAUUCGCAAAUUUAAAUUACGAACGACCAUCUCCCAGGACUCCGUAAAACGUACAAGCUCCCGCGUAUAGAGCUUCCACAGGUAGGUGACAUAAGACAUGAAAUAUGGAAAAAGACGUGCAUUCGCCAUUCCUAAAAAAAUAUCCAAAUUUGACGAUCAAUGAGACCGAUGACGAUGUUCCCGUUCGCAAGUAGUAAGCUGCUUAAAUAUUACUGACUAUAUCUGACAUCAUUGAUGCUUGACCUAUUUUACUUAAAAAAAAAAAUAUUUUCUGAAAGUAUAAUAAAAAUGAAAGUAAAAGAAAACAAUUUGUUUCUUCCAAAGCUCGUAUAUAAUAAUUAUAUUAAUUAUAUUAUAAUACAACAUAUCACGUUAAUGCAAUUGACAUCCUCUUGAUAAACGUUCUAUAGUUACGUAAGACUAUAUACAAAAAAAAUAAUUAGAAGAAAGGAAAGAAUCACUUCCACUGACCUACUGCAACAUGCACGCUUGCGCCGUUCGAGACGAAUGCUAGAGUCAUGGUGUGUAUUUACACGUGGUUUCCGGCGCGAACGAUGACAGCCGUGGGACGACAUACUCGUCCAUUUUUUGGCUGGUAGAUACACGAGUAACAAAAUUACUCGUGAACACGCGCACGUAUACACACGGGGCCUAACGACUACAUGAAUCUACCAACCUCUCGUGUAUUCCUAAAAGAGAAAAAGAGAGAAAAAGAGAGAGAGAGAGAGAGAAACAUGUAUAGAAUAUGCAACUCGCACGUGCACAAAAACCUCCCACGUAAUAUACGUUGCCGCGUAGCUCUAACGAUACAUAAACAUCGGGAGGAUCGAUGGUGGGAGGAGGAAUAAAAGGGAGUGAGAAAGAGGGAGAAGGGAGAUGAAAAAGCGAGGCGCGGUUGAACAUAAGAGAGAAAGAGAAAGAAAACAAAGUGAAGAGAGAAAGAGAGAGAGAAGAAUCCAAUGGGAUGAUGCGAGAGUGAAACAGGGAUAGAAAAGUAGUCAUGUAUGUAUGAAAGACAGAUAGAGGUAGGUACAGAAAGAGAAA